AUUGAACGCUGGCGGCAGGCCUAACACAUGCAAGUCGAGCGGAUGAAGGGAGCUUGCUCCUGGAUUCAGCGGCGGACGGGUGAGUAAUGCCUAGGAAUCUGCCUGGUAGUGGGGGAUAACGUCCGGAAACGGGCGCUAAUACCGCAUACGUCCUGAGGGAGGAAGUGGGGGAUCUUCGGACCUCACGCUAUCAGAUGAGCCUAGGUCGGAUUAGCUAGUUGGUGGGGUAAAGGCCUACCAAGGCGACGAUCCGUAACUGGUCUGAGAGGAUGAUCAGUCACACUGGAACUGAGACACGGUCCAGACUCCUACGGGAGGCAGCAGUGGGGAAUAUUGGACAAUGGGCGAAAGCCUGAUCCAGCCAUGCCGCGUGUGUGAAGAAGGUCUUCGGAUUGUAAAGCACUUUAAGUUGGGAGGAAGGGCAGUAAGUUAAUACCUUGCUGUUCUGACGUUACCAACAGAAUAAGCACCGGCUAACUUCGUG
rnacentral:rRNA from 1 species